AUUGAACGCUGGCGGAAUGCUUUACACAUGCAAGUCGAACGGCAGCACGGGGCAACCUGUGGCGAGUGGCGAACGGGUGAGUAAUACAUCGGAACGUGCCCAAUCGUGGGGGAUAACGUAGCGAAAGUUACGCUAAUACCGCAUACGAUCUACGGAUGAAAGCGGGGGAUCGCAAGACCUCGCGCGAAUGGAGCGGCCGAUGUCAGAUUAGGUAGUUGGUGGGGUAAAGGCUCACCAAGCCAACGAUCUGUAGCUGGUCUGAGAGGACGACCAGCCACACUGGGACUGAGACACGGCCCAGACUCCUACGGGAGGCAGCAGUGGGGAAUUUUGGACAAUGGGCGCAAGCCUGAUCCAGCCAUUCCGCGUGCAGGAUGAAGGCCUUCGGGUUGUAAACUGCUUUUGUACGGAACGAAACGGCUCUCUCUAAUACAGGGGGCUAAUGACGGUACCGUAAGAAUAAGCACCGGCUAACUACGUGCCAGCAGCCGCGGUAA
rnacentral:rRNA from 1 species